rnacentral:rRNA from 1 species
UACAGAGGUCUCAAGCGUUUGUUCGGAUUCAUUGGGCGUAAAGGGCGCGUAGGCUGCGGGGCAAGUCGGGUGUGAAAUCUCAGAGCUCAACUCUGAAACUGCACUCGAUACUGCUUUGCUUGAGGACUGGAGAGGAGAUUGGAAUUCACGGUGUAGCAGUGAAAUGCGUAGAUAUCGUGAGGAAGACCAGUGGCGAAGGCGGAUCUCUGGACAGUUCCUGACGCUGAGGCGCGAAGGCCAGGGGGAGCAAACGGG